rnacentral:rRNA from 1 species
GGCUAAUUUUGCAUUAAACUCACGCAGGGGGGAGUGUGGUUGUAGCUGGCCCCCUAAUAAGGGCAUGUGCACACUGUCUCUUUCUCUUGUUUGUUUUUUCAUUCUUUCCACUUGUGCACUGCUUGUAGGCAGCCUGGCAUUGUUCGGGUUGUCUAUGAUUUUAUUUUACAUACAUGAAUCAUUGUUGUACAGAAUGUGAUAAAAAAAUAAUAAUACAACUUUCAACAACGGAUCUCUUGGCUCUCGCAUCGAUGAAGAACGCAGCGAAAUGCGAUAAGUAAUGUGAAUUGCAGAAUUCAGUGAAUCAUCAAAUCUUUGAACGCAUCUUGCGCUCCUUGGUAUUCCGAGGAGCAUGCCUGUUUGAGUGUCAUUAAAUUCUGUCAAAACAUGCACUUGAGUGUGUUUUGGAUUGUGGGAGUGUCUGCUGGCUUUAUAUGAGUCAGCUCUCCUGAAAGACAUUAGCUUUGGAGGGAUGUGCCAAGUCACUUCUGCCUUUCCAUUGGUGUGAUAGAUGAAUAAACUUAUCUACGCCAGGAAAGCAGGUUGCAGGUGAUGCACUGUGAUCUCUCUGCUCUCUAAUUGACAUUUGUCUGAUAACUUGACCUCAAAUCAGGUAGGACUACCCGCUGAACUUAAGCAUAUCAAUAAGCGGAGGAA